CUCCUCCCUGAGCUUCCACUUGUAACUUGAACUUUGAAAGGCUAAGCUACUUUCUCCAGGCUGAGACACUUUGAGAAAUCAUCCAAAGGUAAAUGGCAGUUACCUGGAGACCCGCUGAACCUGACUUGAGGUCACUAAGUCGGGUCCAUUCAGAGUGCCGCUUUCCUCACCAGCGCCGGAGCUACACAGAAGGAGCUGCCCUGGCCCACAGAGCAGUAGCUCAUGGUCCUGUUAGCCAAAGGCCAAGCUUCUGGGUGCAACUGAAGAGACAUAGAUGAGGCCAAGUGGGUCCUAGGAAACGCAUAAACUACCACAUCAAUUACUCGAUUUUAUCCUCGACAAUUGGGGAGUAUGGAACUUUUUACAGGUCAUUGACUAAGGUCACAGGAGAUGAAAUGAUUUGUGAAAGGUCAAAAACAGAUGGGGAAACUGAGGCUCUGAGGAAACGGGAAAAUGGCCAGAGGAAGGGACAGUGAAGAUCUUUUGCCAUAAUGUCACCCUAUAAACAUUUUGAAGGGAUUCCAUUGAUGUAAAGCAUAAAUACAUCCCUGUUGGGAAAGACAGGAGCAGUGUUUUCUGACUAUAAGGAGGGUUUGUUGGAGCUACCGGCGUGUGGAAGCAAUUUCAGGAACAACGUUGCCAGGAGGUUCUGGCAGAGAGAAUUCAAACAACUGCCAUAGGAAGUGGUUUCGAGCCUUCACAGGACACACAUGUUAAAGUGCCACAGUGGAACCUUGUCCUGGUGUGUGAUGGGAUUCUCAGGUCUCGAGAAGCCCAGUCUUAGAGGCAGGUCCAUCAGUGACUUUCACGGCAAAAAAAUUAAGACUGUAAUCUCCUUGAGGGCCAAGAUUCCUCUUUCUUAACCCCUCCCUACAUGCCCACUGGAAGGCCUGGGAUGGGUUUCCAAGCCUGGCACUGACAUGGAGAAAUAAUGAAACUUUUUAUGUCACACGGUAUACCCUUUCUUCUUUUCUUCAACCUAUCAAAGUGGGAGUUUGGCUUUGAAAAAUCUCCCUCGACUCCCUCUUUUUACAGGAGAGUGAGCAGGCCAAGCAAGGUGAAGUAGCUUACCUACGUGUCCAUGGUGAGCCUGAGGUAGAGCCAGAACAAGGACCCACUUCCCAUUGACCUCUGUCCAUUUCAGAAGGCAGCGUGUUUAAAUAGGAUGCUGGAUUUCUAAAGUUGCAUAAGGGAACAGUUGAAUCUGGAGAAAGGCAGGCCCAAAACAAGGCAAUGCAGGGAACUGUGAAGCAAGGCAAGGGUGGGAAUGGG
rnacentral:lncRNA from 1 species